ACCCUGCAGUGAGGUGACUUUCUAACCUGCCGCUUUGCCCUCUGGAAACCAGGCCAGGGAGGAGCUGGUCCCUGCCCCAGCACAGGUGAGGGCAGGUUGGUGCUCCCCAGUGUGGCCACAGAGGCAGUCCCUCUGGGCUGGGCUCUAGGUGCCUGCUCCAGCUGCAGCCUGUGUCCUGCCUGAGGGUUCCCACCUGUGCACCCAGAGCCGCGGCCCUGGCCCCAUGCUGAGCCCUGGGGACAUGAAAGGGAUGGCUCAGUGACCUGGAGUGGCCUAGCAGUGGGCCCCUCAAGUUGGCUCAACCCACCUGGACCAGGCCUGGGGCGGAGUGGACGAGCAGCUGACACGGCGGUCACGGAAGCCCGAGUGCAGCCAGCAGAGGCCUCUCAGGGGGCAGGACAGGCCAGGUUGGAGCCCAGCAGCCCCCUCAAGGCCUGGGGCUGGGCAGGUCCGGAUUUGCCAACGGUGGCCUGGCAGCCAGUUUCAGGAAGCCUGAGGGUCAGGAGGGAGCCGCCUCCCUGCAGAGGCCUGGAGGAUGCGAGGGGGACACCGCCCUCAGGCUGGUCAGGCUGGUCAGGCUUUCGCUCCUUACUGGAGAGGCCCAGCUUCCCCCCUUUUCUCCUGAUCAUCUGAAACCACUGUGAUGACCUGUCCAGUUAUUUCCCGGAACAAAGAUAGACUGCUGUAAGUCCCCAAGGAUUUGGGUAAGUGGACAUGGAACAGGUAAGCGGGCAGGGCUGCUUCCAGACAGGCCAGGGCCGCUCCACACUGGUGACCCUAGGAGGCCAGGCUGGAAUCCCCACCUGGCAGUGUGUGCCUAGGGAAGGGGGCCACACCAAGUCCCCACCCCAACACCGGAGCGGCAAGUCAAGAGACCCUCCCCCUGAGCUCAGCCCAGCCAGGCGGGGCUCCCCGGGGGCACCAGGCAGGCCCUGACGGACUUGAGGUGUAAAAUCACAAAAGCGAGGUGCUGGGAGGAAGGGCCAGAGGCCAGACUGAGGAAGGCCACCAGCCUCCCGCCACGGCGCCCUGGAGGGUCAGGAGCAGGAGCCGCUAGAGCACUGGACGGUCCGGCCAUCUCUCACUGGGCCCAGGGGCUCCAAGCUGGGCACAGGAAGGCAGGCCACGUGACAAGGCUCCAGCAAGUGCGAUGUCCCGUGUUCUGCUCCUCCUCAGGCCUUCCAGCCGAGAGCCUCUGCAAGGGGACUGCAGACAGAUCUGGGCAACGAGGGCCCCUCCCGCAGGCUUGGUGCGGAAGCCAGGGCCUAGGCUGGACAACAGGGGCCUGGACAGCCCCUGAGUGGACAGCAGUGCGGUGUGGCCUUCUCUGUGUGGGCCUGCUCCCAAGCAUCCCCAGCUCCCCAGCUACUGGGAAGAUGACCUCCUUCAGACACAAACAAAGCUGCAGGCUGACCAGCUGUGUCCACCCCUCCAGCUUCCUCAGGAUCUGACAGGAGAGGCCAGUGGGGCCAGCACUGGCCACCGAGGGGAGCCUACUCAGAGCCAGCCUCAGAUCACCACAGCACCCCAGAGCUCAGCUGCAGUCACUGGGCCCUGGCUGUGACUUGGCGAUGCUCCCUGGACUGAGCACAUGUCCUGCUACCCAGGGGCACGCAUAGAUAGCAGCCCCCAGCUCAGCCUCCCCGCCCCCAGCCUCUUCCCCAGGGGCAGGCACUCACAGCUGUGUGGGGAUGGUGGAGCUUCCAGCUGUCCUGCAGCCCUGCUGAGUUUUCACCAAGAUCCUUGGCACAGGGACCCCCCUGGCUGAGCUGCACUCUGGGCUGCGUGGAGCCCAGGAUGGAGACUCCCAAGAACUUGCUGUAAUGUAGCAUGCACUGUCACACUGCCACCUCUGAAGAAGAGAAUGAUCUGGUUCCAUCCUAAACCUGCAUUUAAAUGACACAGUAACUCACUCUGCGGGCACUGGAGUCGCACAUCAGGCAGAGACUGAUAAAUGCAUCUGCUGAGCCAGCCCCACACGCCUGGGCCACUCCCACCUGGGCUGCUGCACUUGACCAUUAGAAGGAGGUACAGGGGCAUCUUCUUCCCAGUGGAAUCGGGGCACACACCGAUGAAAAUCGGACUUCGUGUGACCCCAUGGCAAGUGUGCUCAGCAGGACCCUGUGCCAGAUGUGCCUCAGGCCCCCAUGGAUACUGCCCAGGACACAGCCCUUCCUGCACCCAGCCACGUUCCCUCGGCAGUGGCCAGGGCUUCCUGGCUGCAGGGGAGGGCUGGCAGCUCCUCCAUCCUCCUGCCCACACCUGCCUCCCCUGAGUACCCAGGGGUUUCCUGCACCUCUCCGCCUGCUUGCAGGACUCUAGGGUCCUUGGCUGCAUGGGUUUGGGUGUGGCUCCCAGGCCCAGGGGGUGAGUCAGUCUCCCUGAAAUCUUUUCCCACAUGUCCUCCAGGCUUCUCCCAGCAUGGCUUGGAGGCCACUGGGACAGCAGGGGUCCUGGGGUGAGCCACCCUGCAGUGUCCACACCAGGCAGGCAGACGGCACAGCGUUUAGACGUGAGAGUGGACGGCCCCAGCCCAGGGUGCAGGUGGACCGCAGGUGGAAACGUGGCCAGAGCUGCCUUAGAGUGACCUGGUGCCAGGGUCUUGUCUGCCCAUGGCAGAGCUGGUGGGCUCCAGACCCUGGCUGACACCCGCCUCUUGACUGAGGGAGGAAGGGCAUAUACACAUCUCCUGAAGAACCUAGAGGGUGGCAUCCUGGCUUCCCUUGGCCCCCAGGGAGCUCAGCAAUGAAGCCUCAAUCAGCUUAUGAGUUAACUGAUUUGCUUGAGGGUCCAGAUCUCAUCCUUAUUUUCAUUGCCGAAUCUGUACCUAUCUGGGGUGGUAAGCCAGCUCCAAUCUCUCCUAGCUAGCAAACUAUACAUGACCUUUGCAAGGUAGAAAACUGCUUGUUAGGACUGGGGGCGGCCGGCCCACAGGCGCCCAGACAGCACCGGACGGCAGACACCGGUGCUCCUCAAGUCCCCUGCUUUUCCCACUAAGCUGUGUUCCGUAGCUCCCCUCUCCUGGGAGCCGUCCACAGAGGGGCCAGGAGGAUGUCCAGGUGGCACUCUUGCCUCAGAGGUGGCAGGUGGGCCCUCAAACACGUCCAGCUACGUGAAGGGCCUGGCAUCACCUGCAGCUCGUCCUUCAGCUCCCGACAGGACAGACGGUCACCUUCCAUCAGCUGCUGACCGGCUAUCACAGAGCCUGCCCCCACGUGCAGGGAGGCAGCAGGGUGUGGCGGUGCCCCUUCCUGCCCCUUUCUUCCUGCAGGAAUCGGCAUCCAGCUGCUUCCUCAGGGCUACAGGGCUCAAGGGGCCUCAGCUCCUCCUGUGUGAUGAGCUGCAGGACCAGACCAUCAGCCACCCCCAGGGACCAGCGGCCAUCAGCAUGUGGUCACUGAGACUUGCACACGGCCAGUGGGUGAGGCUGACCCUGGCCACACCAUGAGCAAUGAAGAGGCAGUGGACAUCAGAGCCAUCUUGCCUGCUGUCCCCUGGCCCAGGAGGAGCAGGGCGCUGCAGUCCUGGCUCAGGGAAUCAAUGGACUGGAUCUGUGCUGUUAGAGCAUCAUGGGAGUCCUCGGGGGAAAUGGGGCUGUGUCCCUCCUGGUGUCAGACCCCAGUGGCUCAGGUUCCAUGGCUUCAGGACUGUGGGCAGUGGGCUCUGGGAGGGACUGGGCUGGGAAUACUGGCCAAACUUGCUGGUCCCUGCCUGGGUGGGGUGUGCAGUAGGGCAGGAGUGAGGUUGUGGGCUGUGGAAAGGCAGGGUCUGCAGUGAAGUCCUAGACAGGCCCUCCUUGCCCCCAGCCCUGGGCAGGAACUGCAGGCCAAGAGGAGCCCCAGAGGAUGGCUGCCUCUCCUUGGCCCUCUGAACUGGAGAGGGCACAAGUUAGCCAAGGGCAGAGGAGGCCAAUGGACGUGUCUCAGAGCAGGGUGUGAGGGCGGGGUUGGCUUGGGCAGGUCUGUGGUGGGGUGAAAGGACCUGGUCAGUGUCCCUGAGGUGCCCCUGCAGCGGCAGCUUCUGGGUGGAGAGAUCUAACUUGAGCCUGGCCACCCUUUGAGGCAAGGCUCUUGCUGCCAGUGGCCCUUCUGGGGGUACCCGUGGGGCUUGGGUGCUGGGCAGGCUCCUGGCAGCUGCUGACCACACUGGGAUCCCGAGUGCCUCUGAGCUUGUAGGAGACCUGUCUCUGAGCCCUGAAGCACAGCACCGGGAACAGAGGGACAGAUCACCAAGGACGCAUGAAAAUACGUACCCAGGCUAUGCCGCCAUGAAAGCCAUUCUCAGAACUGGGAUAAGAAGCUCCCCAGCUGGUACCUCCCUCCCUCUCGCUGACACUUUCCCAGUGGCCUCUGGAUCAUUCACCUGCCAUUAGAAAACUCUAGAUGGAACCAGUGGCAGGUGCAGGGCAGCCAGGCCGGCUAAUGCCUGCAGGGACAGGCAGGAAGAGCCCUGUGCUCCAGCUGUGGCUUCCAUGAUCUCAGCUGAGUCUCCUGUUGCACUGGCCACAACUGGGCCAUGACUCAGCACCACAGCUCAGCACCUGUGGAGCCCAUGGAGGCCACCAAGGCCACUGAGGCCAUCUCUGAGAGCUCGAAACACACCUGCUGCUGCUAGCCAUAGGCCUCCCAGAGGAGGGAUGAGGGACAGUGACGUCCUUACCAAUCACUAACAUGCUUUCACCUGCUCACACUGCAGCAACGAAUCAGGACCUGCUCAGAAAGAGGCCUGCACAAAUCGCAUCCUGAGAUGCAGGUGAGAUAAGACCUGAGGAAGCACCAGGAAUCACUAGGGGAUGCUCCAGCAGGUGCCAAGGUGAGAUGACUCCACUUGUUGUUUGUCGAAGUGAACAACCACCACCUGCCCAGUGCCACCACUGAUAAACAACUCCUCCAUGCCAACUUAUCAAACUGAGUCCAGGAGCACCUGGACAGGUGGACACCCCUUUCCUACCAGGACACCUGACCCAGGAGCUCAUCAACCUCACAGAUGAGAGCUCCUCAUGGAGACCACAAAAGGAGAAGCCCCUGUCACCAAACACAGCGGCACCCUGAUCACUGGUCACUCAUCACAGCCUUGUCCAGGAAAAUCACCACAGGACAAACCUCUGAUGUCCUGUUCCUGUCAGCCUUCAGCAAAGCUUGGUUUCUGCUGCCUGUGACGGCCACACGGCCGGCCCACGUCCAGCUGACACCUCAAGCCGACACUCUGAAACCGAACCUGCCAACCCUCCAGACCCUCUGCUUUGACAGCUCUGGAACUGGUUCCUCUAAACCCACCUGACCCUGUGUGACUCUGCCUCUGUACCGGUCUCUGCCUUGGCUCAGCAUCCUGCAGCCCCGGGCCAUCUUAGCCCUCCCUUAGUCCCUCUGUGACCUGUUUAUAUGCCACUGUGUGAAGUGCGUGUGCCUUGAGUGUUAGUGAUGUUAGACAUUAAGAUGGGAAUAAAAGAACCCGUGACU